rnacentral:ribozyme from 1 species
UUUUUUUUUUUUUUUUUUUUUUUUCCAUUU